rnacentral:lncRNA from 1 species
GGAUGCAAAAACAAGUAUACAGGGGAUAGCAAGAAGGGAACUUCAAAUCUACCCAAACACUUAAAAAGUUGUUCAAAAAAUAGACGGAGAGAUGCAAAAACAAAUAUGUUUGUUCAAUGGCGAAGAGAAUGAAGUUAUCUAGCAUCACCUUCUAAGGACAUCAGUUGUCUGACAUCAUAUGAUCCAGAUUCUGAUGAUAAGUUCUGGGGAUUCCGUGAGUGGCGUAAGCAGAAAGAUGAUGGCGAUGUGGUUGAUUCACAAAAACUUGAUCUUAAUCGGUAUUUAGGAGAGCCUUUGGAAAACCUGGAUAAGGUUUCAGAUGUAUUAGCUUGGUGGCGAGUCAGUUCUCCAAGAUUUCCUACACUUGGUAAAAUGGCUCGUGAUUUCCUAGCGAUUCCAAUAUCAGCUACUGUAUCAAAGUCUUUUUUCAGUGGUGCAGUUGCUUUCAAUGGUUUCAGGCCAGAGAUCAUAUAGAGGCUUUAAUAUGCGGACAGGACUGGUUGGAAAGCCCUGAAAAUAAUUGAGUUCUUCACUGUCUACAGACAGGUGAUUACAAAAUGAUUCUUCCCCCUAAAUUUCUGAACAUCGUUUUCCUGUUUUUUUUCCUACCAUUAUUUGUUAAUGAAAUUUGGCUGCAAAGUCGCACACUUCCCUUGUAAUGAAUAUUAACAGGGUCAUGAUGAUGCAACGUUGAUCAAUUAUAGUAUCAAUUUGUUUAACCAGAUUGUUUUUUUAAGGUAUUAGCAUAUGUCUUACGCGUUGACAACAUGUGAACGUGAUUGUUCUGUUGUAACUAUAGUUUUCGUCACCUGAAAUUCAAUGGAGGGCACUGAACAUGAAACCAAUUUCGAUAAAAUGUUGGCAUUUUAUGGGAUGAUCAUUUUUCUCAAUUUGUUCUUGUCAUCCAUAUUUGCAGGAGCAAGGAAGGGAUUUCUGGUUCUUCACUGGUCUCAUCUGACUCACUUGUGAAGCAAAUGUCUAAAUAUCUGGUUGGUCCGUUUAGAGUGAGCAAACCUACCAGUCCAGAGGAUUUGAAGUUAAUCCAAUAGGUCUUCGACUCUUCACUGAAUGGGAGGUCAGAAUUUUUUCUAAAAGUUCUUGUUUGCUUAGCUGAACGAUUUUAAGCUUACCUGUUCUAUACUUGUUUGUGCUAGUGAGAUUGUUGUUCAAUGCAAUAAUUAUUAUUUAACUCGGCGGGAAUUAUGCCCCAUGAGACCAUAGCCCUGGCUUAAUGAUAACGUCCUGUCUACAUUCUUAGCUCAUAGAUACUACAUAAAAUGUUUGAAUGGCCCAUAUUAUGUUGUAUUGAUCAAUGAUUAUACAUAAUAACGUGAUUACACUGAAUUUCAACAUGCAAAUACAAACAUUAACAGGAAAAAAUAUAUGUCAUGUGACGCUGGUGUCUAGUAGCAGAAAUUGCAGAUUGCAAUAACAAGCAACGAAAUGGCAUAGAUUAUCCAAGUAGCCCCCUUGAGACCAGGGGGGAAUGGGAUUGAAAUGAUGAUGAAAAACACGGUGGCUGCCAGGAAAACUGCGACUUUACCCAACACUUUGGAUGUCCUCGGAAACUUGGCAGGGUUGAUAAAAUGUGACACAAAGAGGCAAGAAAAGAUAAUUGCAACGAGGAUACAGACUAAAUGCAAGGAAUCGAGUUUGGAAUCAGUAAUUUUGUGAAAAUGAAGGGCUAUUUCAAUUCCUGAUGUGAAGCAGGUGCUUAUAAGCGUAUUUUGCCAUUCCAUUUCCUGCUUAGCAUGGAACAUAUUGACCAUCUCUUCUUCUUGGUUCAUGGUGGGAGGUGGUAGCUGCUGUGAUUCUAGUUGUCCUGCUCUAUACCAGAGUCGGGACACAGAUUCUGGAAUUGAAAGAAUGAAACCCUUGAUAACUCGAGCACCAUUCUCCAUGGUUUUCCUGUACGCUAUAAAGCUUGAGAAGACUAGGAAAUAAUUUAUAAGAAACGAAAAAAACUGUCGGAAUAAUAUGCUUAUGAUACCUUUAUAAAAGUUUUUAAUAUCAAAAAUAAAUUAUUUAAAAAAUAUAUUUUAAUUUAUUUUUAAAUAAAAAAAUACUUUAAAGAAUAAAUAGUAGCAGCAGUAAAGCUUCAAAGUCAACAAGUGCUAGAAUGGAGAAUGUAAUAAUGAUGUACACAGAGAAAAGAACUAAGAAAAUGGAGAAACGUAGAGAAACAAUGGUAAAUCCUCUCUCUUCUUCUUUUUUAGUUUUUUCACAGAAAGAAACAAAUUAACUCAAAAGCUCAGAGAGAAUUUGCACACCGGAAAAAAUGCAAAAAACCUUAAAUUAUCGUUGUAAAAAAGAAACAGAUCGAGAAUCACCUGAAUAUUCAGCUUUAUAUGCCAGAAUACGUAUGGUACACCGUCAGUGCAGUUCUUUCCUCAGCUCUUCAUUAAUUUGAUCUUGGGUCUAUUUUGUUUCACCAGGCUUUGUUGUUUGCUUUGUGGGGGUUUGAAUAUGAAUACUGCUUGCAAGAAUGGUGGCUUUAUUUAUACUCGAGGGGCUUGGGUCCCAGUGCUGGCUGGGAAGGAACGUGUCAACAUUCUGAAGAGAAAACGCUGUUAAAAAGCGAUACUGGAUUCUUGGGUGCUGGUGGAGCCCGACUCUUUACUCUUUUCUAGCAUCUUUCGCUUUCACACCGUCCAGUAGUUAUUUUUUAAAUAAUUUUUUAUAUUAAAAUAUAUAUAAAUAAUAUUUUUUAUUUUUUAAAAAUUAUUUUUAACAACAAUAAAUAAAAACGAUUCAAAAUAUAUUAAAUAUAUUAAAUUUUAAUAUAAAAAAAGUUUUGAAUUUUUUGACAACGCGGUUCCCACCGCGUUACCAAAUUGUUUCUAUCUCUCGAAAAGCAAAGAGAUGAAAGAAAAUCUUUGAGAAAAUGCUGUUAAAAAGCGAUACUGGAUUCUUGAGUGCUAGUGGGAGCCGACUCUUUACUCUUUUAUAGCCCCUCGCGCAAGACAGUUGAGGUUUAAUUAGUUGUUAAUCAAAUAAAAUUCCGGUUUAAUUAAUUUGGGUCUAUUUUGUUUCACCAGAAUUUUAUUUUAUUAAAAUUCCGGUUUAAAAUUUUUGGUAAUUAUAAUAUUUUCAAGAGAGUUUUUGUGAUUAUAAUUGGAUAGUUUCUUUGAAUUCUUGAAAUUAAUGUUAAGAAAUGCGUUGUUGUGUUGAAAGUCUGUUAAUUCUAUGGCAAUGCUUAGAGACCAACCUCCAGCUUGGUGUUAUUCCCAUCAGUGCAUUGCUGUGUUGAAAGUCUGUCAAUUCCAUGGGACAUUGUCAUAUUAAUUUUUAUUUUUGGAAGAAAAAACCAAAAUUAAUGGGCCCCGCAUCUCUAGCAAAAGAUGCGGGGCCCAUUAUUUUGUAUACAUCCUUUCAUUCUACCUCUUGAAAAGUAAAGCGAUGAAAGAAAAUCUGCAUGCAUCCUUUCAUUCUCCAUGGUUUUCCUGUGCUAGCUAUCGUGCUCUAUUUAUAGAUAUUGUACUAGGGUUAGUGAGGUUUGAUAAAGUAAUCAGAGUUCGUGAAAAUGAGUGCACGUUGCAUAUUCUAUUUGAAGUCCAGAGUCAGUGAAAAUGAGGCCCACCUAGAAAAAGAAGAACCUGUUGCGUCUAUGUUUUAUUUAAAACGCAGAUAGAACCUGUUUGUUAAUUUAAAACGCAAAUAGAACCUAUUUGAUUAACAAAACAACACAGUUUAUUAUAUAUGGGUUCCACGUAAAUUUAUAUUCGAGACGCAAAAAAAAAAAGAAGCAGCAAAAUGCUGCUUCUUGCGCACUGUUCAUGCCAAUUAAUUAGCAUGAACAGUGUAGCACAUACACUGUUCACGCCAAUUAAUUAGCAUGAACAGUGUAGCACAUACACUGUUCAUGAUAAAAAUAAUCAGCAUGAACAGUGUAGCAUACACUGUUCACGCUGUGUAGCAUACACUGUUCAUACUAAAAAUAAUUAGCAUGAACAGUGUAGCAUACACUGUUCUGGUCCGACCGGUUCCGGUUCAAAACUUUAAAUGCAUUGAAAUAGGUCCGACCCAGUACAAUAAAAAAUAAAAAUUAUUUUUUAUUUUUUAAUUGUGUUUUAUUCAAAAAACUAAUAUUUAACAUUAUUCAAUAACCCAUUGUCGGAUGUAUUUCAUACGUGAUGAAAUUGUAAAUAGUUUAAUGAAAUAAUAAAAAAUAUUUUAUAUAAAGUAUUAUUUAUUUCAUGAUGUAAUAACAAUAGUUAAAUCUACAAUAUUUAAAUUAAAAACCAUCAAUAUUAAUAUAUAUUUUUUAAAAUUAUUUUAUAAUCUCAACUUCAAAAGCAUUAUUAACCAAACACAUUAAACUACUUUUUGUUCAAACUCAAUUUCAACUACAGUUUUAACCAAACACCUAUUUUUUCAAACCAACCUCAACUAAAAGUACUUUUUAUAAAACAAUUUUUUUCAAAUCACAACCACAACAGCUACUGCAAUACCAAAACACUCAAAGCUCUCAAGAUAGAUAUAUCUAUCUCUAUGGCGUCACAUGGGCACCACACACAAGAUUGACCCGUCGUAGGAUAAAAGGAGAGGCUCGGCUCAUCUUCUAUCGUCGAGGGUGGCUAUCAUGGCUACGUGGAUUGACCUUCUCUGUUCUUAUGUAGCAAAAGGAAAGUGAAUAAAAAUGAUUGACUUUAGCUCAAAGUAAUAAAGAAUUGAGUUGUUGGGCGACUGAGAAUAAUAAUAACAACAACUUAUUUGUUUUUAUUUUUUUAAUUUAUUUUUCUAAUAUUUUCAUAUUAUUUUAAAAUAUUUUUAAGUGAAAAAUAUUUUAAAAAAUAUUUUAAAGGUAAAUAUCAAGCUUGAUAUUUAAAAGAAUAUUAAUAAAAUAAUAUAUAUAUAUAUAUUAUUUUAUUAAUAUUCUUUUAAAUACCGGAAGUUUUUAAUUGGUAUGGUAAUUUUUUAAAAAAAAAAACGUUAGAAUUCUGGCUAUGAAUUUAAGUCACGUGGCUCUAAGAGUGGGAAGAAUUAACAAAUUUAGCGGGAAGAAUGGCAAAACCAAAGUAACCAUUUAACAUAUUUACAAAUUACUAGACACGUGGCUUCACAUUAACAACCUAAGUCGGUAGUCGAGGGGCUUGGGCUGUGUUAAACCGUGGAAGGGUAUUUGGGCCCACGUGACGUUACUUUCAAAUUUACAAAUUUUGCCCCAGACUCGAGUAUAAAACCACCCCCCCCCCCCCCCCCCCCAAGCAUCAACAAGACCUGCUCUUGCUCUCGCCUUGGAUUGAACAAGACCUGCUCUUGCUCUCGCACCCCCGCACCCCCCCCCGGCGCGAGGAGGAAAAUCUCCCGUGCCUCCCCCCCUCUCCCCAAGCAUCAACAAGACCUGCUCUUGCUCUCGCUCUCGCUCCUGGGCGUGAACAAGACCUGCUCUUGCUCUCGUGCUCCCCCCCACCCCCCCUCCCCCCCCAAGCAUCAACAAGACCUGCUCGUGCUCUCCCCCCUGGGUGCGAGGAAAAUCUAUCGUGCUCCCCCCCCUCCCCCCAAGCAUCAACAACCCCCCCCCCCCCCCGGGGCGCGAGGAAAAGCUCUCGUGCUCCCCCCCCCUCCUCCCCCCAAGCAUCAACAAGACCUGCUCUUGCUCUCGUGCGUAGUCGUGCGAACAAGACCUGCUCUUGCUCUCGCGCUCUCGCCCGACCUGCUCUUGCUCUCGUGAUCUUGGACUCGCAAGAGCUGUUAAAACCGUGGUAGGUUACUUGGCCCCACGUGACGUUACUUUCAAAACCAAUUUACAAAUUUGCCCAAGGCUCUAGUAUCGUUUAGCACACGCCAGAGUCUGCAAGACGGACUCGCAAGAUUGUUGCCAUAUCCGUAGGCAAGACCCAAACCCUCCCUGUAAAUUCCAUAGAAAAGGCGAUUCCAUAGAAAAGGUGGAUAAGAAUAUAUAUAGCGUUGCCAUAUCCGCAAGACCGAAACCCCCCCUGUAAAUUCCGUAGAAAAGGCGGAUAAGAAUAUAUAUACGGAUACCCCCCCAUAUAUACCGUAGGCAAGACGGACCCCCGGCACAACAUAUUCACGACCACAGCACUUAUACAAACAAUUCAAUCUAGUAAUUUAAGUUUUUAUAUAAAAUUUUAAUAAUUUUAAAUUUAUUCUCUUACACAAUUUUUAUAAACAGGAUUCAUAUUCAAACCCUACUGCAAACAACAAAGCCUGCAGCACUCAGCUCUUAAUUAAUUUGGGCUAUUUUAAUGAAGAGCUGAGGAAAGAACUGCACUUAUUGUAUACGAAGCAAACAACAAAGCGGUGAAACAAAAAGACCCAAACACGCUCGAAGAGCUGAGGAAAGAACUGCACUUACUCUAUAUACCAUAAGUAUUCUUGCAAAUAAAGCUGAAUAUUCAGGUGAUUCUCGAUCUGUUUCUUUUUUACAACAAUAAUUUAAGGUUUUUUGCAUUUUUUCCUUUGUGCAAAUUCUCUCUGAGCUUGUGAGUUAAUUUGUUUCUCUCUGUGAAAAAACUAAAAAAGAAGAAGAGAGAGGAUUCACCAUUGUUUCUCUACGUUUCUCCAUUUUCUUAGUUCUUUUUUCUGUGUACAUCAUUAUUACAUUCUCGAUUUUACACUCGUAGACUUUGAAGCUUUACUGCUGCUAGUAUUUAUUCUUUAAAGCAUUUUUUUAUUUAAAAAUAAAUUAAAAUAUAUUUUUUAAAGAAUUUAUUUUUUAUAUUAAAAAUUAAAAAAAUUAAAUUUCCUUCAAAAUAUUUUUAAAAAGAACUGUAAAAAUCUCAAAUUAACAAAAAAACUAUUAUAAUUAUAUAUAAAAAAAACUUUUAUAAAAGUAUCACAAGCAUGCUAUUCCGACAGUUUUUUUGUUUUUUAUUAUUUCACAGUCUUCUCAAGCUUUAUAGCAUACAGCACAGGAAAAUCAUGGAGAAUGGUGCUCGAGUUAUCAAGGGUUUUAUUCUUUCAAUUCCAGAAUCUGUGUCCCGACUCUGGCAUGGAGCAGGACAAUUGGAAUCACAGCAGCUACCACGUCCCACCAUGAACCAAGAAGAAGAGCCGGUCAACAUGUUCCAUGCUAGGCAGGAAAUGGAAUGGCAAAAGACGCUUAUAAGCAACUGCUUCACAACAGGACUUGAAAUAGCCCUUCAUUUUCACCAACCUACUCAUUCCAAACUCGAUUCCUUGCAUUUAGUCUGUGUCCUUGUUGCAAUUAUCUUUUCUUGCCUCUUUGUUUCACAUUAUAUCAACCCCGCCAAGUUUCCAAGGACAUCCAAAGUGUUGGGUAAAGUCGCAGUUUUCCUGGCAGCCACCGUGUUUUUCAUCAUCAUUUCAAUCCCAUUCCCCCCUGGUCUCAAGGGGGCUACUUGGAUAAUCUAUGCCAUUUCGUUGCUUGUUAUUGCAAUCUGCAAUUUCUGCUACUAGACACCAGCGUCACAUGGCAUAUAUUUUUUUUCUGUCAAUGUUUGUAUUUGCAUGUUGAAAUUCAGUGUAAUCACCUUAUUAUGUAUAACCAUUGAUCAAUACAGCAUAAUAAAGGCCAUUCAAACUUUUUAUGUAGUAUCUAUGAGCUAAGAAUGUAGAAAGGACGUUAUCAUCAAGCCAGGUCUAUGGUCUCAUGGGGCAUAAUUCCCGCCGAGUUAAAUAAUAAUUAUUGCAUUGAACAACAAUCUCACUAGCAGAAACAAGUAUAGAACAGGUGAACUUAAAAUCGUUCAGCUAAGCAAACAAGAACUCUUAGAAAAAAUUCUGACCUACCAUUCAGUGAGGAAUCGAAGACGUAUUGGAUUAACUUCAAGUCCUCUGGACUGGUGGGUUUGCUCACUGUAAACGGACCAACUAGAUAUUUAGACAUUUGCUUCACAAGUGAGUCAGAUCUCACAUUUAAGGAGACCAGAGAAGAACCAGAAAUCCCUUCCUUGCUCCUGCAAAUAUGGACGACAAGAACAAAUUGAGAAAAAUGAUCAUCCCAUAAAAUGUGAACAUUUUAUUGAAAUUGGUUUCAUGUUCACUGCCCUCCAUUCAAUUUCAGGUGACGAAAACUAUAGUUACAACAGAACAAUCACGUUCACAUGUUGUCAACGUGUAAGGCAUAUGCUAAUACCUUAAAAAAACAAUCUGGUUAAACGAAUUGAUACAAUAAUUGAUCAACGUUGCACCAUUAAGCUUAGGAAAUGCAAAUCAAAUUUAGCUUUUGCUAUUGUUUUAGCAUCAUUACAAGGGAAGUGUGUGACUUUGCAGCCAAAUUUCAUUAACAAAUAAUGGUAGGAAAAAAAUCAGGAAAACGAUGUUCAGAAAUUUAGGAGGAAAAUCAUUUUGGAAUCAAGAAGUGCACUUUCCUAUUGAUGUUCCACUCCACUAGCACAUUUUUCACAGCUUCAUUCAUAUAACCAUGUUCUAUAUUCCUGAAAGCCAAAAUCUUCUUAUUCAUCCUCCACCCAUCAUCAAUAAAAUGCAUGCUCAAGCAGCAGGACAUCUUGUUAUCACCGUAUGACUGCAAAUCAAUUGUUAAAUUAAAUAGAGAUGAGAGAUUAUCAAGAUAUUUCAUUAGUUUCUCUUUCUCUUGUCCGUAAAUAGAAAGAGCAUCAGCCUGAACAGUGUCUUGUGAACAGAGUUGAAACUUUAGCUGCAGAUCGCAGACAAAUGUUUUGAAGACCUCAUUUUGAACCAUAUCCAAUGGACAUCCGAGCUUCAUAGUCAUUCUAGCAAGGUUAAGGCAACUCCUUUCUUGAUCAAACACGAAAUUCCCUCCCAAGGCAAUGUAUGUUGUUUUGCAUCUCUCCGUCUCUUUUUUUGAACAACUUUUUAAGUGUUUGUGUAGAUUUGAAGUUCCCUUCUUGCUAUCCCCUGUAUACUUGUUUUUAAAUCCUUUACAUAUGGCCCAUACUGCACCAUUUUCUUCUUCAACCUUAUCGAACCAUUUCCACACUUCAGAUACCUUUCGUCAGCACAUAUGAUGAACAUAUUACCAUCAGGACCUGGAUAAAGUUCAAUUAUAUUAUCGUUUUUACUAACUUUAGAACCUCGUUUCCUAAGUAAUUCUUCUUUUGAAAACAUUCUCAAACUCUUACAAGUUUUCCGUAGUGUAAGCUUCAGGUUCCUAACCAAGUCUUGCUGGUCUGAACUCUCUCUUUCAUGAGGAUAGGGAGAAAGAACUCUAAUAUAUAGAUAUAACCAGCACCAGUGCUCCAAAGCCGGAUUGCAACUGCAGCAUUCAAAUUAUACUUUCGUGCGUGAUGAGCAAGAGGAUACUUGCUUACAUGAUUUUCCUUCGCAUCAAUAAAUUAAAUUAAAUUACAAUAAAAUCUGAUAAAGAAAGUCAAUAAUAUUCUAAUAAAUGAGUAAUUUAAAUAAAAUAAAAAAAUAGAUAAUAUAAAUCAAUAAAUUAAUGACAUGGAAAAAUAAAAAAUCUUGGAACAGAACUUCUCAAUAUAAGAGAAUCAUUAAAAGGUAAGAAGUACACAUAAAUCUAGUAACAACCUGGUUGUUCCCAUUACAAUAAGUCCUGAUAGACUCCUUUUGCGUUGCACGCUAAUGAAUCUAAACUAGUAAUUAACUAAUAUGAAUUCAAUAAUAAAAUAAACCCUUAAACAAUGUCUAACGCACUAGAAAAAAAAUUAAAUUAAAAAUAAUUAUUUAAAAUAAAUAAAAAAGAAUAAUAAAAAAGUCCUCAUGUUAGAAUUCCUUCAUGUAGUCCGAAUCUCUAAUUUUUAUAUAUUCUUGGCAGAUUUGAAUCCUGAUUUCAAACGUGUCAUUCUCUCUCAUUUGGAUGAAUUAUUGGGCCUACGAUAUAUGGUUGGAAAACUUUAGAUGUCUAGUUUCUAACUCAACUUCAAUCGAAGCAAAAUUCUACCGGUAGCUUCAGAUAUGUCCCAAACAGUACAAGAAGAUCUUUUUUGAUAUAUUUGACAAUAUUAGUUUACUAACUUUGAUCCUCUAAAAUAUUAUGUUCCCUAACUCUAUUUGACCUGAAAAUGUACCACAAUAUAUUUUUAUGUAUCUAAUAUUUUCGUGUAAAAUUUCAGUUUUAUCCAAUAUAUGGUUUGAAUGAUAUGUUCAAUCUCGCAAAACUAGUCAACAAACAUUUUAAGGUCAAAUUUGGACCUCACUUGGUUCAUAUCACAAAUUUAAUAAACUUGUAAAAUCAGACCAAGUUUACUGAUUUUACAAAUUUUGCAUGAGUUAAGUUUGAUUUUAUUAGUUUCAAGUUUUUAGUACAAUUUAGCAUGUUAAAUACAUAUUGACUCGUAAAAUUAAAAGAAAGAGGUGGAAUUUGUUGAUAAUCAGAUUCGGAGUCGUCAACCGAAUGUUAGAGUUUGAGAAAAGUUUGAUGCAGGACAAUAAAUAAUAAAAUUAAAGCAAGAACAGAAAGAAGCUUUAAAAAAGAAAGAAGCUGAAGAAGAGAAGAAAAGGGAUUGGAGAUAUGCAAAGUCUGCAAUAGUUUCAUUAAUCAUCCAAAAUUGUCUCUCAAGAUGACAGAAGAACAUAUAAAUAGUAAACCCUAAAACAUCCCGCUAUUAGGCGUGGCCCAUCAAAUCAAACUGUUUAACAUAAAUAAUAAAAUAACAAUGAGCAGGCCCAAAUAGGCUAAAUAAAUAAAAUAACAAUGAAAUAGGUCCAGAUGGGCUUAGUCUCCAAAUCAAAGCGUGACAGGCUGGGUCAUCCUACGUCGUCUUCGUCCAUAUACUCGUGUAGUUUGUGGUGUGGGUCUGGUGUCCCCAUCAACUCUCCCGGGGUUAGAGAAACUCGACCCUGUCGAGUGUAGCAUUGGCCGACUCUGAUAGUACUCUCAAAGAUCUGGAUCAAGCUGCUGCAAAGUAUCUCUAGUAAUCCAAGUGCAAUUUGAGUCAAGUCGACCCACCCAGCGAACUAGAAACCGUUCAACCUUGUUGUUACUCAUUUUUGGACCCCAUGUUUGUUGGAAGAUUGACAAAAGCAGAUGGAAUAAAUAUUUUUUUUGAAAACCCUGUUUGAGCUUUUUUCAGCUCUCUUUAUCCUUCCCCUUUGCUGCAAAAAAUCAUUAGGUUUUCUUAGGUUGAUCAGGAGUCUUCAUAAUGCUAAAUUCAUUCCUUUUUUAUUUGGUUUUUAAGGUUGAAUAAAUCCCUCAGAAUUUGCAAAAAAAACAAAUGGUUCUGUUGUUGUCACAAUUUUUUGUUCCAACGUAUGCUCUGAUUCUGACUCGGUUUCGUACGAUAUCUGACCAUCCUAGGUAUAUUUUGUCACUCAUGACAUGUUAAAAAAUUGACGUACACCUUUAUUAGGUCCUAGGGAUCAUUGUUCUUAGGGCAGACUCUCAGUCAGAUUUGGAUGCUUGGCAUUGUCAGAUCAAGAACCUUUUUUACCAACCAUAUUACUGCCACUCCUUCAUCAAAUUUGUAGUCCGGGACACGUAUAUGAAUUUGAACUUUCAAAUUGCUUGAUUUCAAUAUCAGAAGCUCAAGAUAUUCCUGUUUGAAAUCUAGCGUGAAAACAUAAAAUCCUGCCGCGAAAAGGUUUCCAGUCGAGUUUGGUUGCAAUUCUGUUAUUCAAAACGAAUUUAUCUCACUUUGAAUCCUUCAUCAAAGUUGUAUUCUGGGACACGUAGAUGAAUUUGGGCUUUUGAAUCGCUUGAUUUCAAAAUCAAAAGCUCAAGAUAUUCCCGUUUGAAUAUCUAGUGUUGAAAGCAGGGAUUCCUGGCCGCGAGAAGGAUUUUUGCCCAAGUUCGUGGGACUGAUUUGAAGGAUUUUUUUUUUACCAAGGACUGAAUUGAAAUGUGCUAAAAUGAGGGAUUGAAUUAAAGAAGGACAUUGAAAGCUGGAGAGGGGAGCUAGAUCAUCAUAAAUGACAUGUUUUUACCACACCGAAUAAGGAAAAUAGGACUUUGCAGUUGCACCCUCCAUCUGAUUUCUUUCCUUUUUUCUCUGCUAUUUUCCUUUCUCAUCACGCCUGAUUUUUGGAGCUGAAGACCACGUUUUUGUUGCCUCAUUUCAAAGGGAGCAGCUGGCCCUAUGGAAGGAAAGAAAAGAGCCACACCUUCCUCUAAAACUGGAAAGAAAUCAGACGUAAAGCACUAACACAAAAUCAGAAUAUUGCGAUUUUCUUUUUGCGUUUCUUUUACUGCAAAUCAGUAGGGAUUUGCGUCCUAGGAUUAAUGCAUUGAAUCCUUCCUAAAUAGAGACAUAUUUAGACUAUAUAUAAGCCCUUCUAAUGACCUAACGGGGGCAGCAAAAAGAGAGCAGAAAAAUAAGAAAAGAGAGGAGAGAAUAGAGAACGAGAGAGAGAGACAACAAAAGAAAAACCAGAAAGACGUCUUUGCUCCAUUUGUUUUUCUGCAAAUAAAAACUGCAGAAACGGGAAAAGAAAGUUAGGAAUCAGUAGAGAAAGUGAUGGAGGUGCAGAGUCAAGAAGGAGGCAAUAAGCAGACCUAAACACAGAACAGAAGAAGGACACAGACCGAACAACCAUCACUCUUUCAACGCCACUGCAGUUUCUUCGUCUCCAGGUUUGUUUUCUCUUCACCUGUUGCAUGCUUUGUUUUUCUUUGUGUGUGCACUGUUAGCGUGGUCUCGUUACUUUGUGUUGUUUUUGUGUCUGUACUGUUCAAGUAAAUUAAUUCACUUGAACAGUAGCUCUCCAUUCACAAAAGAGGACUGCGCCCCUUUUGUGUCCAGCCUGGUCACUUGCCUCAAUUCUUUUUAAAAAAAAAAUAAAAGAAAGAGAAAGAGAUUUAUUUUCUGGAAUAUUUAUUUUAAAUUCUGAAUAUUUUUUUAUGUUGUAAAAAAUAUAUAUACCAAUCUCGUAUUUAGAAUGCCAGGUUUUCGACGCAAUUGUGGCAAAUAUACAUAUAUAUAUCAAAAUUUGUUUUCUUGUGUGUUACAUACGGCUAAUACCCUAACAUGUUUUGAAUUUUUUUUAUACAAAAAAUAUUGGAAGUUUUGAAAAUGUGUUUUCGCAUGGAUUUCUUAAACACAAAAAAAAAUUUGUUUUCUUGCAUUUCUGGAUUUUACAACAUGUUUGUAAAACUCCAAAGGGUACUGGCCAAUAUUCCAAAAAAUAUAAAAAUCUUAUUUUGGAGGGAAUUCAUCUAUUAUUCACCGCUAAUGUUUGGAUAAAGAAAUCCUUAAAGGACAAAUAUGCAAAAUAUUAUUAGGAAUAAUUUGUUAUUAUUCACUGUUAAUAUUUGGAUAAAGAAACCCGGAGUGGUAAAUAUCCAAGAUAAUUUUCUAGGAAUAAUAAAUCCACACACAUCUUUGAAAGAAGCCUUGAUUAUAAUCGAGGACAUUUCAAAUUUUUUUACUCCACGAUUUACGAGUCGUGAAAGUAUAAAACACUAAGGCAAAAAUAGGCUUUUAAAGCGCCCUAGAUUUCUAAAUUUUUGUCCCUCCUCCUUGUGAUUUACGAGUCGCAAACUCUUGAAAUACUAAGGGAAAAAUGAGCUUUUGAAGCACAUGGAAUCUCCUUGGAUUUCUAUCUUAAUCAAUUUAGCUUGAAUCAAACCUAAGAAAACUGAUGGGAUUAGAAAACACCAACACCAUAGCAAUUAUAAAGCAAACCAAACACCAAGCAGCUUACCUUAGGUAGGGCAUACUAGGGGUGUUAAUACCUUCCCUUUACGCAACUAGUCUCUUGCCUUAGAAUCUCUGAAAGACUAGUUAGGGUUCCUAGUGACCAUAAUACUAGGUGGCGACUCCCCCUUUUACAUAAAUCAAAACAAAAAAGACCCCGAAAUCAAUCGAGGAUCGUUGCGCUCCACCGCGAGGGUGCGACAAACCUCACCAUUCCUGUUAAAAACAACUUGUUCAUCCAGAAUAGCAUCAAUAUUAUCUUUUUGUGCUGAUGUCAAGGUGAAAGGGAUAGAGGUUUCAAUAGGAUCAUUAGGAGGGGAGUUAAGUGGUAUCUCAAAUGGAUCAUUUGGAAUAGGAAGUGGUUUGUGGUAUGCAACUAGAUCCUCAAUGUUAAAUAUAGAGCUAAUGCCAAAAUCAUAUGGUAAAUCAAGAACAUAAGCAUUUGGACCAACCCGUUGUAGCACUUUGAAAGGCCCGGCACUACGUGCAUGCAAUUUUCGAUUAGCUCCCGAAGGAAACCGCUCGGGUCUAAUCCAUAUCAUAACAUAGUCUCCCACAUUAAACUCAUUAUGUCGUCUAUAUAAAUCAGCUUGAAGUUUAUAUUGCGCAUUACUUGCUUGAAUCUGUUUAGUGAUCUCAAUAUGCAAAUCCUGAAUUCUAUGUGCAAAAGACUCGGCUGACUCAAACACUCUAGCAUGAAGGGACAUGGGAAAAGGUCUAAAGGUUUCCUAGGUUUGUAACCAUGUACAACUUCAAAGGGACUCAUGCCUAUUGACCUAUUGAUAGAGCUAUUAUAGGCAAACUGGGUCGUAGGAAGAAUCAGAUCCCAAUUCCGAUUAUGAUCACUCACUAGACACCUUAAAAUGUUGCCCAAACUCCUGUUAACAACCUCAGUUUGACCAUCAGUUUGAGGGUGGUAAGCAGUAGAAAACUUCAAUUUGGUUCCCACCAUAUGCCAAAGGGUUUUCCAGAAAUAACUUGUAAAUCUAACAUCCCUAUCCGAAACUAUGGUUUGGGGAAGACCAUACAACUUGACAAUCUCGUCAAAGUAGAGUUUUGCAACUCUGGAAGCAUCUGUGGUCUUAGUACAAGGAAUAAAAUGGGUCAUCUUAGAGAAGCAGUCGACAACCACAAAAAUAGAAUCAUGUUUCUUUGCGCAAAAUCCAUGCUUACAUCUUGCCAAGGGCAAGUAGGAACGGGCAAUGGGAUGUAAAGACCAGUAUUUUGUUUUCUAUGCUUAGCUAAUUGGCAAGUUCGACGUUGACUUGCCAAUUUGGCGACAUCUCUUUUCAAACUAGACCAAAAAAACUGACGUUCCACCUCUUCGAUGGUUUUAUUCCUUCCAAAAUGUCCUGAGAGACCUCCAGCAUGAAUCUCCCAUAUCAAAAAAUCACGCAUGGAUGUUUUCGGGAUACAAAGCUUAUUAUCUCGAAAUAAAUAUCCAUCUUGGAGGUAAUAACCAUUUAUAACACAGUGAUUCUUAUCUUUCAAUGUCAAGUAUAUUUCUCCAAAUUCUAAGAAAAAAGGAGGAAUAACAUUGCCUGUGUUUUUCGUUUGUAAUCCAUUCUCACACCUUGCUUUGCGUCGUACUGUAGGCCUAGAAGAAUUGAAGAUUUAUUAUCAACAUUUGAGCAAAUUGAGUUUUGAGCUGUUGAAAUAAAAAAAAACCUCUGUCUUACACUGAAACAGAGACGUGCGUUUGUAGGCCUAGAAGAAUUUGUUAUGCUACCAUUCAUUUUCAUUGAAGCUAGAAUUUUCGACAUUGGAAAUCUCAUCUGGCAAAUCAACAAAAUUCUUCAUAUUUUCUGUGACCUGUAACUGCCUUUAGCCAUAUUACCAUCAUAGCUAUGAACAAAAACACCACUAUCGACUGCUACAACAUAGUCCAUGGCAGCUAGAUGGUUUUGGGAGUCCUUAUUUGGCUUCAAUUCUUCUUCCUUUUCCAGAGAGAAAUGAGCGUAUAUAUUUAGGUACUUAGCUCCGAGUGAUUUAAUUCCGUCACGACCAUAAUUUUUCCCUGCAGAAGUAAAUCCCAUCGCCUUAAGAAACACUGCAACUAAUCUCUGUUGUAGUCAUGGGGCAAAACCCUUCAAAUCACUGCUUUGUGCCUUUGAUCAUUUUGUUCUCCGAUGUGCUACUCCAUUUAUUCCGUUAACUCCUUAUUCUCAGUUUCUGUAAGAAUGUGAUGGCAACCUGUGAAAGCCAGCAUGCCUUUUUCAUAUCUCCAAUCGGUGCUGCUUAGUUAGCAAGAUCUAGCAAAGUUAUCGUGUCAUGUUGUUUUUUCAGGUGCCUCAAGGGAAGAGCCAUGAACGGUCGACCAUCAUUCCUGAGUCUUGAGCAGCUUUUUGCGAGGGAGUUCUGACCACAUUAAAUGAUUAUAAGAGUGUGUUUGGUAUUGUGGUAACUGUUGUGGUUGUGGUUUAAAAAAAGUUGUUUUAAAAAAAGUACUUUUAGUUGUGGUUGGUUUGAAAAAAUAGGUGUUUGGUUAAAACUGUGGUUGAAAUUGAGGUUGAAUAAAAAGUAAUUUAAUGUGUUUGGUUAAGAAUAAUUUUGAAAUUAAGGUUAUAAAAUAAUUUUAAAAAAUAUAUAUUAAUAUUGAUGGUUUUAAAUUUAAAUAUUGUAGAAUUAAUUACUCCUAUUACAUCAUGAAAUAAAUAAUACUUUAUAUAUAAUAUUUUUUAUUAUUCCAUUAAACUAUUUAUAAUUCCAUUACGUACAAAAUUUAUCCGAUAAGAACUACAGUUUUCAUAAUAUUUUGAACGUGUAAUAAAAUUAGAUAAAAUAUUACCAGGUAUAAAAUUGAUAUUAUAGUGCGAGUGAAUUUAAUUCACUAUAUACUAGUUUUUCAGGAAAAAAAAUAUUGUUCACAUCAUAGUGCGAAUAAAUUUAAUUUACUCUAAAACUAAUUUUUUUUUAUAUGUAUUAAAAAAAAAAAGUGUGUGAACAGUGCAAGUGAAUUGCACUGUUCACGUGAACAGUGCAAUUCAUGCUUGAACAGUGUGCGCUACACUGUUCAUGCUAAUUAAAUUUAGCGUGAACAGUGUCCACAAAGCAGCAAAAUGCUGCUUCUUUCUUUCCUGCGUCUCGGACGCGAAAAAUCAUGAGGCCCAUACACAGUAAAAUGUAUUCUUUUUGUUACCAAACGGGUUGCAUCUGCGUUUUAAACAAAACGCGGACGCAACCUAAUUGGCAAACGGGUUCUAACAAAACAUAGGGUACAUAUGGGUAGAUUUAGCCAUUUAGGGAUGUGACCCAGAAUAAUUCAUAUAAAGAAACACUUAAUAUGAAUUACAUUUAUUAAAUAAAAUUAUUUAACAUCAAUAUCAACUAUUUUAAUAAUCAAAAUCAUCAUUAAUGAUAUUCUUUUUCUAUAUUAAUAUAUUAAAACAAUAUGAUAUAAAAAUACUAAUAAAUUUUUAAUUUAAAAUAAAUAAUUUUUUUAAAAAUAUAAAAAUAAAUAAGUUGAGGGUAGGAUUGUUAACCUUCAUUUCACAUCAGUGCCUUCUUUUAUGGACCAAAACCCAGAAAAAAAAAUCUCAAGCUUUAUACACGGGCAAAAAAAGGCAGUCUUUACUUAUAUUUAGCUUUAUCCGCGUGCUUAUAUGUAUAAAGAAGACAAAUAUGGAGGUGGGUUUGGGGUGUUAUUGUUGAUAUUGGAGUGUGGAAGUGAUCACGGAGGCUUUGUAUACUGCAAAUUUUUGGAUGUCAUAUUACUAGACUGUCCUUGCUACUCAUAGAAAGGAGGUGAGUGAUGUACUAAUUAGACCAUGGAUGUUGAGAUAUUUGUUUAUUGGCUGCUGAAAGCUGAUAUAUCUUGAUUUCUUGGUGUGUGCAGGCGCAGGAUUGAAGAAAGUGAGGUUUUGCUUUCUGGGUUAUUUCUGUCGAAACAGGUAAAAGGUUAGGUUUUUCAAGUGUAAUUAUUGAGAUGUUUUUAGUUAUUCAAGAACAAAAAAAUGACUAAAGAGAGGAAAUUGAGCUGUUCUGUUUUGCGGGUAGAUAAAAAUCUGUGCAGAAAGAGUGAAACUUUGAAAGAUAUUAGGAAACGAAGAAUUGAGUUCUUUGUAUGGUAUUCUGAUUGAAAAGAGGGGAGAGUAUUUUGGUUAGUUAUAUAACUAACCAAAAUGGAGAACCCCUUCUCGUCGAAAGAAAUGUGGAUGGGUUAUUGGGCUUGGCCAAGAGCUCAAAUAGAUUGUGUCACACCUUUCGAUGUUUCUCUUAGGAAUUCAUUGUUGGAGGACCCAUUCAACUUUUUUUCAGAGCUUAGUAAUUUUGAUAUGUAUGCUGGAUGGUGCGACAGCCCGUUAGCUAUGGAUCAAAUGCUUGCUUUCGAUGGGAUGCCAUCUUUUCCAUCAACAUCCUAUCCAUCCUGCGUCCAGAAAGUUUUGCAGAACAAACUUCUGCUCCCUUACUGGAUAAAAUAAAUGCUUCUGAGACUUCUUACAAUGGUGGAGAUAAUGUGGUGCUUCAGGAAACGUAUUCCUAUUUUGGUUAUCCCUCAGAUUCCAUGGAUGCUGAUGAUCUGGGUGCAAAACACAGUAGUGGUGCUGGUCCACAAAACUGUUUCUAAAACACCUCUUGUAUUAUUUCUCAGCCAACUGGGCCAUCAUCACUUGCUGAGAGGAUGCUAAGGGCAUUAUCCUUGUUCAAGGAUUCAUCUGUAGGGGUUAUUUAAGUGCAGGUGUGGGUUCCCAUAAGGAGCGGGGAUCAAUACUUGUUGAGCACCUCAGAGCAACCAUUCUUGGUGUGACCAAAUUCUAGCAUGGUUUACCACUAGACCUUCCUGGUCGUCUGUUUAUCUCUAAGGUUCCAGAAUGGACUUCAAGGGUAAUUUAUUAUAGCAAGCCUGAGUACUUACGAGCAAAGCAUGCAUCUGAUCAUGAAGUACGAGGUUCUUUUGCAUUGAUCUUUGAUCCAGAUGAGAUGUCCUGCUGUGCUGUUCUGGAACUUGUCUCUGUGAAGGAGAAACCAGAAUUUAAUUCAGAGAUGAAAAUGUUUAGCUUCACUUUACUGUAUACUAUAUUGCAGAAGCUUUUGUUCUCUUCUAUCUUUAGAUGACAAAUUAUGUAACUUGACUAGCAACCUGUUUUCACUUAUUUGCAAUAACUUCGUGGUCUUGCAUAUUCUGCAUCGUUUAAGGAGAGAGAACAAAAUGUUGUUCAUAAAUAAGUUUCUCCCUUUAAGAUCCUCUUGUUCCAGCUUAUGCAAUAUAUUUGGAUUGGAGUCCAGCUUUAAGUACUUACUCUUGGUAUGUUGUUGAUAAAUAAGUUCCUUUCCCUUGCUACUAUGUUUUAGAACCAUAAUAUGCUGUAUUUUGAACAGGAAAUUGUUAGAUUUAUCUGCAUUUUUGCAAUAACUUCGUGGUCUUGCAUAUUCUGCAUCGUUUAAGGAGAGAGAACAAAAUGUUGUUCAUAAAUAAGUUUCUCCCUUUAAGAUCCUCUUGUUCCAGCUUAUGCAAUAUAUUUGGAUUGGAAUCCAGCUUUAAGUACUCACUCUUGGUAUGUUGUUGAAGAAUUACCUGGGGAACAAGGUUCUAAAGUUGGGAUUGAGGAAGGACCUGUACAAAGCAUCCCACCAGUAAAAACUGCAUUGUUUAAAGGGGACUUGAACUUGAUUGAUGGGAUUCCUCUUCCUGAAUCUGGUUCAGAAAAUGUUGGUGUGGAAUCGGAUGGUCCUUAUGUACAGGUAACAUUCUUAAACCACUUCAUCCAUAUUUGCGUCCCUUGUGUUUGGCCUUUUGUUUCGGUUCAAGUUGGCCUCAUUUGCAAGCUGCCUCCAGUAUUUGGCCAUGCCCAAUGCUUUUCAAAAAUUUGCUUGCUUAGAGGGAAAAAAAAGAUGAUACCCAAUAUUUUUAUAGCUCAGAAAGGGAUUUUAUGUAUUAGCUUACCUUUUCUGGCCCUCUUGCAGCUAGAAAAAACAAUGAUAAAAUUGAACCUGCUCCAGAUCCUGAUGGUAAACGACAAAAGGUAUCUGAAGUCUGGAAAGAUUUCGAUAAGUUUAUAGACAAAGAAAAUAAAGUAUGGGCCAUAUGUAAAGGAUGUAAAAAGAAGUAUACAGGGGAUAGCAAGAUGGGGACUUCAAAUCUACACAAACACUUGAAAAGUUGUUCAAGAAAGAGACAGAGAGAUGCAAAACAACAUAGAUUUCCUUCUGAUUUGGGAGGGAAUUUUGUAUUUGUUCAAGAAAGGAGUCGCCUUAACCUUGCUAGAAUGAUUAUGAAGCUCGGAUGUCCAUUGGAUCUGGUUCAAAAUGAGUUCUUCAAAACAUUUGUCUGCGAUCUGAAGCCAAAGUUUCAACUCUGUUCACAAGACACUGUUCAGGCUGAUGCUAUUUCUAUUUACAGACAAUAGAAAGAGAAACUAAUGAAAUAUCUUGAUAAUCUCUCAUCUCUAUUCAGUUUAACAAUUGAUUUGCAGUCAUACGGUGAUAACAAGAUGUCAUGCUGCUUGACUAUGCAUUUUAUUGAUGAUGGGUGGAGGAUGAAUAAGAAGAUUUUGGCUUUCAGGAGUAUAGAACAUGAUUAUAUGAAUGAAGCUGUGAAAGAUGUGCUAGUGGAGUGGAACAUCAACAAGAAAGUGCACUUCAUGUUUGCAGAAAUUGCUCCUCCAAACAGUCAAAUGACUAGAGAAUUCAGAAGUCAGCAUCUCGGUCAAUUCGCACAUAUGAAUUGGGACUAGCUAUGUUUUUCAUGCCAUGCACAACUCUUGAACUUGUUGCUGGAGAUGGGUUUUAUGAGAUAAAAGACGUGCUUAACAAGAUUAGGGGCUGUAUUGUAUAUGUGAAUGCAACACCAAUUAACCAAGAUAAGUUUCGGGAAGCAAUUAAUAAUGUGAAAUUGCAAGAUAUGAAAGCAGCCUCUCAUGAUGAUCCUACCACAUGGGAUGCCACAUUUGUCAUGCUCAUGAGUGCAUUGGAAUUAAGAGAAGCUUUUUCUCAACUCGAGCAAGUUGAUUUUGAUUUUAAGGUGAAUCCAUCCAAAGAGGAGUGGAAGAAGGCAAUGGUUGUAAGUGGGUGUUUAAAAGUGCUAAACAAAUAUUUAGGCAGUUCUUCAUCAAAGCAUAGAUGCAUUCUUCCUCAAUGUUUGCUAUAUUUAUAAGAACUUGCUUUCUUGGGGAAAGAGUGAGCACACAUAUGUUUGAAAUUACUCAAUUAAGAAAACCUUGUUAGCGUUUUUUUUUAGUCUAGAAAAACACAAGGAUGAAAUUGAAAACAAUUAAAGUAUAAGAAUAGAGGAAAAAUAUCAGUAAAUUUAAAGGGGCAGAAAAUAAGUUAGUUUUAAAACCCAAAGCCAAAAAUCAACAAGUCAACCUCCUUCAAGUCUGUAACCGCUCCUCAUCGUUCCACUUUCCAGCCAUGGAUAAGAUGAUCUGAGGAGUGAGAAGAAUUGUCGCGGACAAAAUUGUCGAAAUACAAAUGGAUUUGGAACAUUUGUCUUGCGUCGAUGAUGAUUUGCCUCCUGCAACGUCGAGUCUAUGGGAAAAGAUGGGAAAAGCGUUAUCGUUGCUUAAAAAUUCUUUAGGAAUCGGCCUGCAAAAUCUCCCUUACCCUCACUUGUGCGUCCCAAAUUCUACGCUUCUUGAAUAUCGUCAACUGGAGGGUAUUAUUGCCUUUCCGGUCUUUGAUUCUGAUCAACCCAUGCAUUGCCGUGCUGUGCUGGAGCUUGUGACCAUGGAUGAGAAACGGGAUUUUGAUUUAGAGACGGAAAAAGGUUUCCAGGUUUGUUUUCAUAUCCGGAUUUAGGAGAAUAAGAAAGAGAUGAAAGAAAGUAGCUUUCCUUAGCAUAUCGAGUUUGAAGUCAAAGUUAUUGUCUGUUCUACUUUCGAAAUCUCAUGAAAUGUGAAUUUUCCCCUCAGCUUCAUUUUCUGUGAUCUCUGUGUUUGCAUUUGCUAGUGUUUCUGAGGUGAAACAAUCUUUAAGCUUUAAAUUAGAGCUCAUGAGGCAUUCAGUAUUACAACUGCAUGCAUUAGCUUGAGUCCAAAAUAUUUGUGCCAUUAAAAUAUAUGGGCAAAGAGGCAUUGGUCUUGUUUGAUGGUGUUAUAAACUCUGUAUAAGCCCAACUGUUUGCAGGCUGCGGAUUUACGGAUCAAUUUACAACCUCGACUUCGUCCUGAGGUAUUUAUCAGUAGUACCUUACAGAUUUUUCUAUGCUAAAUUAGGUUGUCUUCUGCUUUGUCUAAUAGAAUUUUUUUUCCCAGUGUUUUUCAAGGGAUCAAAGAGCUGAGUUAACUGAAAUCGCUAAUGUUACCACAGCUGUAUGCCAAACACACAGAUUGCCACUUGCUCUGACAUGGAUUCCUUGUGAUUAUACCUGGGGAGCUGUUGAUGAUAUUUCAAAAUUGCGUGUCAGAUUACGUGAUUCAAGGAUGAUCCGGAAAUGUGUAUUUUUCAUAGAGCGUACAUCUUGUUAUGCCGAUGAGGAGAUGCAAGACUUUGUGCAUGCUUGUGAGCAACUAUUUAUGCACAGUUGGCAAGGUGCUGCUGGACGAGCCUUUAUAAAAUAUCUUCCUUCCUUUGAGCCUGAUGUGAAGGAAAAUCAUGUAAGCGAGUAUCCUCUUGCUCAUCACGCACAAAAGUAUAAUUGGAAUGCUGCAGUUGCAAUCUGGCUAAGGGGCAGUGAUGCUGAUUAUAACUAUAUAUUAGAGUUCUUUCUCCCUAUCCUCAUGAAAGAGAGUUCAGAGCAGCAAGGCUUGGUUAGGAACCUGAAGCUUACACUACGGAAAACUUGUAAGAGCUUGAGAAUGUUUUCAAAAGAAGAAUUACUCUGGGAACGAGGUUCUAAAGUUAGUAAAAACAAUGCUAAAAUUGAACCUGCUCCAAAUGCUGAUGGUAAUAUGUUCACCGUAUGUGCUAAUAAUAAAGACGAAAGGUAUCUGAAGUGCGGAAAUGGUUCGAUGAGGUUAUAGAAGAAAAUGGUGCAGGUAAAGGAUGCAAGAACAAGUAUACAGGGGAUAGCAAGAAGGGAACCUCAAAUCUACACAAACACUUAAAAAGUUAUUCAAAAAAUGGACGAAGAGAUGCAAAAACAAAUAUGCUUGUUCAAUGGCGAAGAGAAUGAAGUUAUCUGGCAUCACCUUCUAAGGACACCAGUUGUCUGACAUCACAUGAUCCAGAUUCUGAUGAUAAGUUUCGGGGAUUCUGUGAGUGGCAUAAGCAGAAAGAUGAUGGCGAUGUGGUUGAUUCACAAAAACUUGAUCUUAAUCGGUAUUUAGGAGAGCCUUUG